CUAAGCACUAAGCUCCGGGUUCAGGGUGAUCAAGAAUGCUAUGUCCCCGGAAGGAGGCUCACCAUUGCACCUCGGUGGGUGGAAACUCGCGACGGACCCUAAUAGGGUGUGCUCGGGCGUGUAGUUUUGUGUCAGUGGGGNNN
rnacentral:snRNA from 15 species